AGAGAGCGGCGUACGGGUGCGGAACACGUGUGCAACCUGCCUUUAUCAGGGGGAUAGCCUUUCGAAAGGAAGAUUAAUACCCCAUAAUAUUUAGAAUGGCAUCAUUUUAAAUUGAAAACUCCGGUGGAUAGAGAUGGGCACGCGCAAGAUUAGAUAGUUGGUGAGGUAACGGCUCACCAAGUCUGCGAUCUUUAGGGGGCCUGAGAGGGUGAUCCCCCACACUGGUACUGAGACACGGACCAGACUCCUACGGGAGGCAGCAGUGAGGAAUAUUGGACAAUGGGUGAGAGCCUGAUCCAGCCAUCCCGCGUGAAGGAUGACGGCCCUAUGGGUUGUAAACUUCUUUUGUAUAGGGAUAAACCUAGAUACGUGUAUCUAGCUGAAGGUACUAUACGAAUAAGCACCGGCUAACUCCGUGCCAGCAGCCGCGGUAAUACGGAGGGUGCAAGCGUUAUCCGGAUUUAUUGGGUUUAAAGGGUCCGUAGGCUGAUGUGUAAGUCAGUGGUGAAAUCUCACAGCUUAACUGUGAAACUGCCAUUGAUACUGCAUGUCUUGAGUGUUAUUGAAGUAGCUGGAAUAAGUAGUGUAGCGGUGAAAUGCAUAGAUAUUACUUAGAACACCAAUUGCGAAGGCAGGUUACUAAGCAACAACUGACGCUGAUGGACGAAAGCGUGGGGAGCGAACAGGAUUAGAUACCCUGGUAGUCCACGCCGUAAACGAUGCUAACUCGUUUUUGGGGCUUCGGCUUCAGAGACUA
rnacentral:rRNA from 1 species